UAAUUAAUCUAAAAAUCUAUAUAUGGUAAUUUAGUAAUACAGUAAUCAAGUCUUGUGUCUUGUAAUUUAUUAUUUUAUUUUUUUUGGUUACAUAAUUUAUUAUAUUUCUAUUCCAUUAAGUUAGCAUUUUUAGUACAACUUUUUACCUAUCAGUUCUAAGUUAAAUUUAUCUAAUAAAUAAGUUACAGCAUACAUUCAGGAAAAGAAUAAAGUUGUGUCCUACCAAAUUUACAGCCCCUUUCUGAGAUAUAUCAGUGCUAGCAGCCCUCUUUAGGAAAUGAUGGAUAAUUUAUUGCAGCAUUUAAUCUGCAAGAAAUUUCAGCAUGAAAAAAUGGC
rnacentral:lncRNA from 1 species